GGUAGGGAGGUAUGGAUAUGGACAAGCUAUGCCAAGGAGCAGGGCUUUGUCAUGGAGAGUGACUAGGUGCUUUUACAUAGGAAAGUCACCUGAUAAUAUUAAAACCUGUGAAAUAUCACUCUGGUGGAAGUGUGAAUGAAUUUGAAAGGGGUGUAACACUGUUCUACUUUGUUUACUCCUCAGUACCCUUGGCUGUGUACAUUUGAGUAAAGAGAGCACUAUAAAAUCAAAAACCAAUGAAAUGGUUUCCAGAACACAGAACUAUUAAGCUUAAGAAAAGGACAGAAGGAACUGAAGAGAGAGGAACUGUUUUGGAGCAUCACACUUCCACCUCAGAAGAAAUAAGGAAGGAAGGAGGAGGGUGUUCCCACGGCUCUUCAACCAGGCCGGCUCUUCAGCCUACAUCCCCAUCUCAUCAAGUAAAAGGGAUUUUUCAACUGGACCAACCAGAUGGUUUAACAGUGCACUCCCACACCAUUCAACUACGCAAGGGAGAUACACUUAACAUAUGCAGUCGUAUAACACCUACUAACAUUUUCAAACAUUAAACCUUUAAAAAAGAGUUCUAAAGAAAUAGAAGCUUGAAGUAUCAUCUCUCAAGUAUAUAGACACUACUUCAUGGUGUGGUAAUAUAUGCAUAUAGAAGCUAGUAAACACCUCCAGGAGAUGCAAAAGGAAUUAGAACUGCCACAAGGUGCAAGCAAAACCUUGAGAUGGUGUCAGCUUCCUCAAACCACACAGCUGACCGUGGAGAAAGAGAUCGUUUGUCAAAAGACAGUUGAGGUCCUGUUACCGGGGGGAAAAAUGCCAGAAACAAAAGUUCUGUUUUUCCUCUUCUAAUCCUUCACCCAUCUGAGCUAAAGUCUAGACCUAAGGAGGCUACUAAUUCAGGGAUCGAGUAAUCUGCCAAGCAAGAGUUUAUUCAAGCACAGUUUGAAAUAAAGGUUUCAAAUGCAUAGCCUGUCGAUACUUUGGAAGGAUUCUCAUCAUAACGAGAUAUGGGAGGACACCUGAGACGGCAGGCCAGAAGUCACUCAGUAGGAGAAACAUCCGUUAGAAGUAAUAAUGUGGGAUUGCUGAAGUAAAGACUAUAGGAAGAAAAAAGUGUCUGUGUGUAGGAAACGGAAAGGGAGAGAAAAAUACACUGAGAUGGUAAAGUAAGGAAGUGGAAGAUCAGCAGAAUGUGCAGAUGCCAAGCCAUCCAAGAAAAUCAUCUCUUGUGAUUGUUGCGAAGUCAACUAGCUAAUGUGACUCACUGCUAGGCUGUUGGAUCUGAGACUUAUGUGGGAUAAUUUAGAAACUUGCUAGUGUCUUAAGAUCAAUUACUCACCAAUGAGAGUGGCAUUGAACUGUGAAUGUUCCUCCUAGAUUUUCCAUGAAGACUAAUGGUUUUGUCUUGUCUUGAAUUUGUUUUAAUUACAAUUUGUAUACAUCCUGUUCCACCCUGAAAUUUUUAUUUUCCAAAUGGUUUUUCAUUUAAAGAGACUAAAUAAAGGUUCUGACUGAGUUGUA
ensembl:lncRNA LINC00343 long intergenic non-protein coding RNA 343